rnacentral:misc_RNA from 1 species
UGGUGACAUUUCUUUAAACAAUUAUAAUUGUAUUAUUUUUCAAACUAACCUUAUCAGUUUUACAGAAAAAAGAUGUUUAAAAAGAGCAAAUAGUAUCUUUAUAAUAACCACUUAGUGAAAACGUUAAAAGUUUCAUAUGUUCCUUUCACAAUUUAAGUUCAUUUCUAAUAACCCGUUAUAGUAAUUAUCCGGUAGCCAUAUUUAAGUGAAAAUUAUGGAAACUGGAAAUACUGUAUAAUUAUUCAUUUUAUUAUAAUUUUUAUGAAAAGAAGACGAACUACAGUUACUUUCUGAUUCUACCAUAAAUUAAACAAGAACUCUUGACUGGUGAGUGAACCGUUGAAUUCUGUGCAACUGAAGUUACUUGUAUAUGCUACAUUGUAACUAAAACCGACCAUAUUCAUAAAUUUCUUUACUGAAAACGUACAAUAUAGAGUUCCUAAUGCUGGCAACAAUUUAUUAUAUUCCUGACGCAACGUAUUUAUGGGCAUUGAAACAGUUUGUAACAUGGAGACUGAAUCAGUAAAGUCGGAAAAUAGUUCACGUUCCCGGCGUUCCAGAAGUCAUAGAGAACGUAGCACACAUCGUCAGUAUUCUUACAGAAGUACUAGGAGUAAUAAGUCCACUCGUAAAAACGACUCAAUGGCCCCAUUUCAAACAGCAGUUACUCUCAAUGCCGAUUCCCGUGAAGGUCAAGAGGUUAUUGAAGUGCAAAUAUUACCCCAGGAUGAUAACUGGGGAGAAAACACAACAGCAGUAACUGGAAACACCUCAGAACAAUCACAGUCCACUGAAGAUGUGAGCAAUUGGCCUGGGGAGCCAGAUGCAGGCUUAGGAUUCUAUUGUUUUCAAUACAUGGGGUCAAUUUUUACUUAUGUGCUAUCAGCAGCUGCUUUUCUGAGUCCAGUUGCCAUGGUGAUACUCCCAAAAAUCGGAUUUUUCCCUGCAUUGUCUUCUCCCAUAGGAUUACAGAACGGCGAUAAACUUCUGACAUGUGGAGCAGAGUGUAAGGGACAGUUGAUCUCUUUGGCAUUUAAAUUAGCAAUUUUGGCAGGUGGAGCUUGGGCUGUUUUCCUUCGGAAACCAAAUGCAACGAUGCCGCGAAUAUUUUUGUUUAGAGCUGCAGCUCUGGUCUUUGUCUUGGUAGCCACUUUUGCCUAUUGGCUCUUCUACAUAGUUCAAGUGACAGAAACUGCAAAGGCCGCCACAACCCCUGAAGAAUCAGUAGACUACAAAGCUGUGGUAGCUUAUGCUGUCAGUCUGACUGAUACAUUACUUUUCAUUCAAUACUUGGCUGUAAUUCUGGUCGAAAUUCGACACUUGAAACCAGUUUAUUACAUAAAGAUUGUUCGCAGCCCUGAUGGAGCCAGUAAAUCAUAUGCCAUUGGUCAAUUAAGUAUCCAGAGGACUGCCGUUUGGGUGCUGGAGAAGUAUUACACUGAAUUUCCCAUAUACAAUCCAUACUUGGAGAGAAUACCUGUUUCUAAGUCACGAAAGGCCUCGUCCAGCUUCAAAUUUUACGAAGUUGAUGGUAUAAACAACACCAAUUCGCAGCAGUCCCAGUCCCGAGCUAUGUUGGCUGCUCAUGCCCGAAGAAGGGAUUCGAGUCACAAUGAAAGAUUUUAUGAAGAGCACGAAUAUGAAAGAAGAGUUAAAAAAAGGCGUGCACGUCUUAUAACAGCAGCUGAAGAAGCUUUCACCCACAUCAAGCGACUGCACAACGAUCAGGUUCCUGCAAUUCCGAUGGACCCCCACGAAGCCGCCCAAGCGGUGUUUCCAUCGCUUGCCAGAGCUCUUCAGAAAUACCUGAGAAUUACCAGGCAACAGCCAAGACAUUCUGUUGAAUCAAUUUUGAGUCAUUUAGCAAACUGUUUGAGUCACGAUUUAACACCUUGUGCUUUUUUAGAGCCGUACCUGGUGACUGAACCGGUGCUCCAGAAUGAUAAAGAAGUCAAGGAGGUGCAGACUUGGGCGCUUAUUUGCGAGGAACUUCUAUCGAGACCGAUCGGUGAUAAAACGGAGUUCCAGUUACGACAAAACGACGUUUCCUUGCUCUGUACUAUAAGAAAAUUGCCCCAUUUCAAUAUAACCGAAGAAGUUGUUGACCCAAAAAGCAACAAAUUUGUACUUCGAUUGAAUUCUGAAACAUCCGUAUGACCUCUGGAAUGUGACCGGUUGAUCUGAGGGGUUGGUUGAAGCUAGUGUAGUAUGUUAUCAUCAAACAAAGACAUAAUAUGGUUUUCCAACAUCCUAUACACAAAUAUUUUAAAAAUGUUAUGUGUAUAGGAUGAAGAGUGAGUGGACGUCGUUUGUUUGUAAAAUGUAAACUUUAAGCCAAUGUACAUAAGAACAUAAUAAUUAGUAUAUUACGAAAUUUUUACUAAUUAUCGAAUACAUUAGAUUAAGAUUUCGUUUUAUAAAAGAACAAAAGAAGAAUAUUUGUAUUCAAUAGAAAACGAAAUGUAAAUCUGUAAAUAAUUAGUAAUCAAUUAGCAGUUUACUACUACGUGGGUCUUAAUUAAAUUUUUAUACUCAUUUAUAUUAUGAUAAAUUGGAAGACUGUUGCUAGUCAAACGUCUUACCAAAAAGGCUUUAAAUAUGAGGCAAAAAACAGUUUCAUUUAUACUGUUUGUGUAAUAUACUCAAAUACUUUUGGAAGGUAUCAAGACGGCUAAGCCACUGCCCUCAACGUGUCUGUAAAUAGAUAGAUGGUUUGAUUAAUGAUGUGUCAGUAUUGAUUGAAGUGUUUUAUAAAAUGAUUUUUUAAGGAAGAAACAAAAUCCUAUUUUUAUAGGAUUUUUAGAUUGUUUUUUUAAUGAUGUAAAGGUAUUUGUACCUUUGAAUCUCAUAACUUGAUCUCCCAAAUUAUUUGUAGUUGGAAAAGAAACGUUAAUAAUAAACAGCGCAACUUAAUGAUAUUAUAUAAAAAGUUUGUGUUGAUUUAUAAAUACUAUAGUUAAGAAAAUACUUUUUUUGAAGUAUUAGUAUUUUAAAAACUGACACCUCUUAUUAGU